GGCGAGGUAGCUCAGGUGGUUAGAGCAGCGGAAUCAUAAUCCGCGUGUCGGGGGUUCAAGUCCCUCUCUCGCUACCA
rnacentral:tRNA from 2 species